rnacentral:rRNA from 1 species
AAUGAACGUUGGCGGCGUGGAUUAGGCAUGCAAGUCGUGCGAUAACCGUAGCAAUACGGCGAAAGCGGCGAAAGGGAGAGUAAUGCGUGGAUACCUACCCCCAGGUCCAGGAUAGCCGCGGGAAACUGCGGGUAAUACUGGAUGACGUCUCCGGACCAAAGGUGUGAUUCCGCCCGGGGAUGGGUCCGCGUCCUAUUAGCUUGUUGACAGGGUAAUGGACUACCAAGGCAAAGAUGGGUACGGGGUGUGAGAGCAUGCCCCCGCUGACGGGGACUGAGACACCGCCCAGACCCCUACGGGUGGCUGCAGUCGAGGAUCUUCGGCAAUGGGCGCAAGCCUGACCGAGCGACGCCGCGUGCGGGAUGAAGGCCUUCGGGUUGUAAACCGCUGUCAGAGGGGAGGAAAUGCCGGUGGGUUCUCCCAUCGGUUUGACCUAUCCUCAGAGGAAGGACGGGCUAAGUUCGUGCCAGCAGCCGCGGUAAUAC